CUACGGGACGCUCCAGUCGAGAAUAGUCUACAAUGGACGAAAGUCUGAUAGUGCGACGCCGCGUGGAUGAAGAAGCAUUUCGGUGUGUAAAGUCCUUUUCUGUGUGAGCAAUGUUUUCCAGGUUAAUAGCUUGGAGAAAACGAUAUUAACACAGGAAUAAGCUCCGGCUAACUCCGUGCCAGCAGCCGCGGUAACACGGGGGGAGCAAGCGUUGUCCGGAAUUACUAGGCGUAAAGGGUAAGUAGGCGGAAUUGUAAGUCAGAUGUUAAAGGCACCGGCUCAACCGGUGUAUGGCAUUUGAUACUGUAAUUCUAGAGUAAGGUGGGGGAAGACGGAAUUCCUGGUGUAGCGGUGGAAUGCGCAGAUAUCAGGAGGAACACCAGAGGCGCAGGCGGUCUUCUAUACCAUUACUGACGCUCAAUUACGAAGGUGUGGGUAUCAAACAGGAUUAGAUACCCCCGUAGUC
rnacentral:rRNA from 1 species